CUUUUGCGUGAGUGAUUGAAGUGGAAAACCCGCAGGAACGAGGACUUGUAACGGAAAGCGCGGUGCCAU
rnacentral:misc_RNA from 1 species